AUUGAACGCUGGCGGCAUGCCUUACACAUGCAAGUCGAACGGUAACGGGCCUUCGGGUGCCGACGAGUGGCGAACGGGUGAGUAAUGUAUCGGAACGUACCUUUCAGUGGGGGAUAACGUAGCGAAAGUUACGCUAAUACCGCAUAUUCUGUGUGCAGGAAAGCAGGGGAUCGCAAGACCUUGCGCUGAUUGAGCGGCCGAUAUCAGAUUAGCUAGUUGGUGAGGUAAAGGCUCACCAAGGCGACGAUCUGUAGCGGGUCUGAGAGGAUGAUCCGCCACACUGGAACUGAGACACGGUCCAGACUCCUACGGGAGGCAGCAGUGGGGAAUUUUGGACAAUGGGGGCAACCCUGAUCCAGCCAUGCCGCGUGAGUGAAGAAGGCCUUCGGGUUGUAAAGCUCUUUCGGCCGGGAAGAAAUCGUAUCAGCUAAUACCUGGUACGGAUGACGGUACCGGCAUAAGAAGCACCGGCUAACUACGUGCCAGCCGCCGCGGUAAAAC
rnacentral:rRNA from 1 species